GGAUGAACGCUGGCGGCGUGCCUAACACAUGCAAGUCGAGCGAGAUGCUUUUAACUGAUUCUUCGGAUGAAAUUAAAAGCGGAAAGCGGCGGACGGGUGAGUAACGCGUAGGCAACCUGCCCUGUACAGAGGGAUAGCAUUUGGAAACGAAUAUUAAUACCUCAUAAAACCGACUGUGUGCAUGCACAGACGGUCAAAGAUUUAUCGGUACAGGAUGGGCCUGCGUCUGAUUAGCUAGUUGGUGAGGUAACGGCUCACCAAGACUUCGAUGGGUAGCCGGCCUGAGAGGGUGAACGGCCACACUGGAACUGAGACACGGUCCAG
rnacentral:rRNA from 1 species